rnacentral:rRNA from 1 species
UACGUAGGGGGCUAGCGUUGUCCGGAUUUAUUGGGCGUAAAGAGCGUGUAGGCGGCCAGGUAGGUCUGGUGUGAAAACUCGAGGCUUAACCUCGAGAUGUCAUCGGAAACCAUCUGGCUAGAGUCCGGAAGAGGAGAGUGGAACUCCUGGUGUAGCGGUGAAAUGCGCAGAUAUCAGGAAGAACACCAAUGGCGAAAGCAGCUCUCUGGGACGGUACUGACGCUGAGACGCGAAAGCGUGGGGAGCGAACAGG